GCUUUGGAGGGUUUAGGGGUAGAAUUCUUGCCUUCUGUGCGGGAGACAUGGGUUCAAUUCCUAGCCAAAGCA
rnacentral:tRNA from 1 species